ensembl:lncRNA
GUGUUAUUUAGAGAACUGGCUGUGUGUGUGUGUGUGUGUGUUAUUUAGAGAACUGGCUGUGUGUGUGUGUGUGUGUGUUAUUUAGAGAACUGGCUGUGUGUGUGUGUGUGUUAUUUAGAGAACUGGCUGUGUGUGUGUGUGUGUUAUUUAGAGAACUGGUUGUGUGUGUGUGUGUGUUUAGAGAACUGGCUGUGUGUGUGUGUGUGUUAUUUAGAGAACUGGCUGUGUGUGUGUGUGUGUUAUUUAGAGAACUGGCUGUGUGUGUGUGUGUGUUAUUUAGAGAACUGGCUGUGUGUGUGUGUGUGUUAUUUAGAGAACUGGUUGUGUGUGUGUGUGUGUUAUUUAGAGAACUGAACUGGUGUGUGUGUGUGUGUGUUAUUUAGAGAACUGGUUGUGUGUGUGUGUGUGUUAUUUAGAGAACUGGUUGUGUGUGUGUGUGUGUUAUUUAGAGAACUGGCUGUGUGUGUGUGUGUGUUAUUUAGAGAACUGGCUGUGUGUCAUUUAGAUUGCUGGGUGUGUGUGUGUGUGUGUUAUUUAGAGAACUGGCUGUGUGUGUGUGUGUGUUAUUUAGAGAACUGGCUGUGUGUCAUUUAGAUUGCUGGGUGUGUGUGUG